AGUCUAAGUCUUCAAGUUUAAAUAAGUAUAUUGUUAUUAUUAUUUAAUCAGCUGUCCUCUUCUUGCAGGUUUAAAAUCAAUUUUACCUUUAUUUUAAACUUGGGUUACUAGAAGCAUUCAGCAGAGAUUGAGGAGUUAAAUUUCUUAUUUAUGAAUUAGUAGCUCUUGUCAAGUCUGGAGAAAGGGACAUGGCUCAUGACCUUUACAGGCCCUCUGAAACUGGUGGCCUUCAUGUUGUCAAUCUUCCAUUUAAACUGUUGCAGGGAGAAGAUUCUGGAGUAUUGAUAUUCAGAAGAGAAAGAACUGGGUAUAAUGGUUAGUGAGGGAUUAAGGGAGUUGGAUGCAUCAAGAGUGAUAAGAGAUGAAUGGGCCAUGAGUGAUGGAGAUGCACGACCAAGCAGAUCUGAGGAAGAGCGGCCAUUAUAGUAGUGAUUGAAAACAUAAAGAGGAGACAGCAUGUCUUUGGGCAAGAGUCUGGAGUGUGUUUUUUUUGUUUUUGUUUUUUCUAAACAAAAUAUUACAUAUCUGAACUAUCUCUUUGAAAUCUUUUGUUCAAAUUAAUUUCAGUAAAUUAGUAUCAUUUGUAUAUAAAAUUUUCCUCAGGUGAUAUGAAGUCUGUAUAUUUAUUGAUGUAAAUUAAAUUAUCUUCAUUACUAGAUUAAAUUAUUCUGAAAAAUUGUAUAGUAUCUUACUCAUAAUGAAAAUGCUUGUAAAUUUAUUGUACUUCAAGACAAGAUGUUUUUAAUUUCGUUAGAUUCUGAAACUUUAUUGAACUCCAUGAAAUUUUCAUUAAAGUUUCAAAGUUUAAUGAAUGUUUUCUUAAAGAACACUUCAUUUCAAAGAAUCUUUAUUGCUGUAUCUUUUUAAAAGAAAAUCUGUAAAACUUUCUUGAACAGUGUUUAUAACUACAUGAAAACCUUGUGUUGAGAGACAUUGAACUAAUUACUACCAUCAGCUGAAAAAAUUAUAAGAUUUGAAGAAUGUCCACUUAAAGAUAAUGAAAAUGUGAAGUGUUAUUGUUGAACUUUACAAUUUGGAACGUUUUGUCAGGCUUUAAAUAAGUUUAUUUAAUGGUGGGAGAAGACCACUAAAAAUAUCAAUUUAGGAAUUAUGGAUUGAAAUGCCUUUAUUGUGCCUGUAGAAAAUUUUACAUCAAAUGCAAGUAUGGCUAGAUGUCAUCAGUCUAAUCUGAUUGCAUAUGUUUUCUAGGAAGAAUAUACAAAUUUUCAAUUCAAAUUUAAAGAAUAUAUUGUAAUAUUUUUCUCUUUAAUAUAAAUUUUUCUUUCUGGAUAGUAUUAUGUCAAUAACCAAAUCAUAAAUAUAUAAAACUUCGACAGUUAAUGAUAUGCAAUAUUAUCAACAAGUAAAAUGAAUGUAUUUAAUAAUGUAUGUGUGUGUUAAAUGGUUGUCAUGACUCUUCUCCUAUGUAUUUGUUUACACAAUCUCAGAUCAUCACUUACCAUGCAAAUACAAAUGUUAUAUAUAAUUCUUAUUAAUCAAUGUUAUAUUAGAACCUUAAUUUUUCUAACUAUUAAUAUUCCAAGCAAAGAUAUUAGGAAUAAAUUUGUUAUAUAUGAAGUAAAAGGAAAUUAAACUCUUUUAUUCUUGUACUUUUUCAAAAUACACUUUUUUUCUGGCUGCUUCUUUGGGGUUUAGGUAGAAGUCACUUGAUUGCUGAAAAUCUGAGACCUUUCAAAACAAAAGUGAAAUAAUAACAGAGUUCCUGUUUGAAAUAUUCUGAGUGUUAUAUAUACAUUAUUGCUAGAGAGAGGAAAGAAAUUCUCUUGCUAGUGUAAUCAAGAUUAACUUCAUUUAGAAGAUUUACGCCAUAAGAUACUUUAUGUACAAUUAAUAAAUUAUGAAAAGAAAGAUUGUCAAAUAGGGAUGGGUAGAUAAUGGGGCAUCAACAAUAGAGAAACCUGUAUACAGAGAUGUUUACAAUUUUUAAAAUAUCAAAACCUUCAUAGAUAUUAGUGAUUUGGUAAUAAAGCUGAGAAGAAAAAUCCAGCAACAUUUGGAUCAUUCAGUAUAUUUAAAUAAGUCACAAUUUAGAGCAU
rnacentral:lncRNA from 1 species